rnacentral:rRNA from 1 species
AUUGAACGCUGGCGGCAUGCCUUACACAUGCAAGUCGAACGGUAACAGGUUAAGCUGACGAGUGGCGAACGGGUGAGUAAUAUAUCGGAACGUGCCCAGUCGUGGGGGAUAACGCAGCGAAAGCUGUGCUAAUACCGCAUACGAUCUACGGAUGAAAGCGGGGGAUCGCAAGACCUCGCGCGAUUGGAGCGGCCGAUAUCAGAUUAGCUAGUUGGUGGGGUAAAAGCCCACCAAGGCGACGAUCUGUAGCUGGUCUGAGAGGACGACCAGCCACACUGGAACUGAGACACGGUCCAGACUCCUACGGGAGGCAGCAGUGGGGAAUUUUGGACAAUGGGCGAAAGCCUGAUCCAGCAAUGCCGCGUGCAGGACGAAGGCCUUCGGGUUGUAAACUGCUUUUGUACGGAACGAAACGGUCUCUUCUAAUAAAGGGGGCUAAUGACGGUACCGUAAGAAUAAGCACCUGCUAACUACGUGCCAGCAGCCGCCGUAA